rnacentral:lncRNA from 1 species
AUAUAUAUAUAUAUAUAUAUAUGGUGAUAUAUAUGUUGGUAGUGCCUCCAUCUGCCAUGUAUGAUGUAAAAUGUGGAUGUCUCCAUUCGCCAUGUGCGUAAAAAAAAAUUAGGGGCAAUGGCCCGGGAAUGCGUUGCAGGCAUUGCAAGCAUCUAUAGGUUUGGGGAGCCGGAGCUGAUGAUAAAUCGACGGCUGCAAUCUACUAUAGCAUAGGGUGGUAUGAGGAGGCGGUGCCAGUGCUGGAGCGGGUGGUGGUGAUGAUGCUGUGGGCUAAAAGGAGAGCAUGGAGAUCAGAGGGUUUCUUGGGUUCUAAUUGAGGUUUUUUCUUGAGAAUAUGGGUUUCUGUGCAAAUCAUGGCGACAUAAGCCACAAAGGGCUAAGGAGGAGACGACGGUGCCGGUGUUAGAGCGGGCGGUGGCGGCGGUGCCAGGGGUUGGAAGUAGAGCAUGGAGAUC